rnacentral:rRNA from 1 species
AGUGAACGCUGGCGGUAGGCCUAACACAUGCAAGUCGAACGGCAGCACAGUAAGAGCUUGCUCUUACGGGUGGCGAGUGGCGGACGGGUGAGGAAUACAUCGGAAUCUACUUUUUCGUGGGGGAUAACGUAGGGAAACUUACGCUAAUACCGCAUACGACCUACGGGUGAAGGCAGGGGAUCUUCUGACCUUGCGCGAUUGAAUGAGCCGCUGUCGGAUUAGCUAGUUGGCGGGGUAAAGGCCCACCAAGGCGACGAUCCGUAGCUGGUCUGAGAGGAUGGUCGGCGACACUGGAACUGAGACACGGUCCAGGCGCCUGCGGGAGGCAGCAGUGGGGAAUAUUGGACAGUGGGCGCAAGCCUGAUCCAGCCAUACCGCGUGGGUGAAGAAGGCCUUCGGGUUGUAAAGCCGUUUUGUUGGGAAAGAAAAGCAGCAGGUUAAUACCACGCUGUUCUGACGGUACCCAGUGAAUAAGCACCGGCUAACUUCGUG